rnacentral:lncRNA from 1 species
UGGCCACCCUGCACGGCUCGGUCCCACUGCUCCCGCAGCGGAGGCGAGGGCUGAAGUGCAUGAGGAAGGCUGAGCACCUCCUGUCUCUUCCACCUUUCCUCUUGAGCCGGCCGGUCGUGCACCCUGCAGUUCUCCUGCGGCACGAGAGGAAGGUGCAUGGGCUGUAGCAAGCACCGUAGCAUGCCAUUGUUUUCUGGCACUAAGUUGCUUCCUGAAGAUUACAUAGCAAGCCAGCAUCAGCAUCAAGAAGAGCCAAGCCGGACGAAGAUACUGGAGCAAAAGAGCCCAAGGAGUUUGCAGGUGGAGCUUUAUCAGCAUACCAAAAGGGUUGAUGUACUGAACGACAGAGGUUGCAGGCCUAGAUCUGCCUUGUACGCUUGAUGUCUCUAGCAGGUGCCACAAGCGAGGCAUCGUUUAACUGAGGAAG